rnacentral:rRNA from 1 species
AUUGAACGCUGGCGGCAGGCCUAACACAUGCAAGUCGAGCGGAUGAAGGGAGCUUGCUCCUGGAUUCAGCGGCGGACGGGUGAGUAAUGCCUAGGAAUCUGCCUGGUAGUGGGGGAUAACGUCCGGAAACGGGCGCUAAUACCGCAUACGUCCUGAGGGAGAAAGUGGGGGAUCUUCGGACCUCACGCUAUCAGAUGAGCCUAGGUCGGAUUAGCUAGUUGGUGGGGUAAAGGCCUACCAAGGCGACGAUCCGUAACUGGUCUGAGAGGAUGAUCAGUCACACUGGAACUGAGACACGGUCCAGACUCCUACGGGAGGAAGCAGUGGGGAAUAUUGGACAAUGGGCGAAAGCCUGAUCCAGCCAUGCCGCGUGUGUGAAGAAGGUCUUCGGAUUGUAAAGCACUUUAAGUUGGGAGGAAGGGCAGUAAGUUAAUACCUUGCUGUUUUGACGUUACCAACAGAAUAAGCACCGGCUAACUUCGU